rnacentral:misc_RNA from 1 species
GAACGCACAUUGCGCCCCUUGGUAUUCCGGGGGGCAUGCCUGUUCGAGCGUCAUCUCAACCCUCAAGCAAUGCUCUUGGUAUUGAGCCCAUGUCAGCGAUGGCAGGCUCCAAAAACAGUGGCGGCGCCGCUGGGUCCUGAACGCAGUAAGAAUACCUCUCGUUCCAGGUGCCCCGCGUGCUGCUGCCAAAAGGAAUCUCUAAGUUUGACCUCGGAUCAGGUAGGGAUACCCGCUGAACUUAAG